rnacentral:rRNA from 1 species
UCAGCGGAAAGUAGCUUGCUACUUUGCCGGCGAGCGGCGGACGGGUGAGUAAUGUCUGGGGAUCUGCCUGAUGGAGGGGGAUAACUACUGGAAACGGUAGCUAAUACCGCAUAACCUCGCAAGAGCAAAGUGGGGGACCUUCGGGCCUCACGCCAUCGGAUGAACCCAGAUGGGAUUAGCUAGUAGGUGGGGUAAUGGCUCACCUAGGCGACGAUCCCUAGCUGGUCUGAGAGGAUGACCAGCCACACUGGAACUGAGACACGGUCCAGACUCCUACGGGAGGCAGCAGUGGGGAAUAUUGCACAAUGGGCGCAAGCCUGAUGCAGCCAUGCCGCGUGUGUGAAGAAGGCCUUCGGGUGUAAAGCACUCCUCCAAAAAAACCCU